CAGAGUGUAAAAACUCCUAAACCCUUUGUGAAUCUACCUAUUCUUGUUCCUCCGGUAGGCGGUCCCUGGGAGGGACCUAUAGCCCAUGUGGUGCCUGCCGAAGAACGUCCCAAACUCUGUUACCUGUGGUGUUAUUCUGAGUGAACUACAAAAUAAGAUAA
rnacentral:misc_RNA from 1 species